CCUACGGGAGGCAGCAGUGGGGAAUAUUGGUCAAUGGAGGCAACUCUGACCCAGCAACGUCGCGUGAAUGAUGAAGGUCUUCGGAGUUGAAAGUCCUGUUAUGGGGGAUGAACACAUUGACGGUACCGCAAUAGCAAGCCACGGCUAACGACGUGCCAGCAGCCGCGGUAAUACGUAGGGGGGAAGCGUUAUCCGGAAUGACUGGGGGUAAAGGGUGCGUAGGUGGUUUAGUAAGUUGGCGGUGUAAUUCCGGGGCUCAACCUCGGCGCUACCGCCAAAACUAUUAGACUAGAGUGCAGGAGAGGUAAGUGGAAUUCCUAGUGGAGCGGUGGAAUGCGUAGAUAUUAGGCGGAACAUCAGGGGCGAAGGCGACUUACUGGACUGUAACUGACACUGAGGCACGAAAGCGUGGGGAGCAAACAGGAUUAGAUACCCGGGUAGUC
rnacentral:rRNA from 1 species